ACUCCUGCGGGAGGCAGCAGUGGGGAAUUUUGGACAAUGGGCGAAAGCCUGAUCCAGCAAUGCCGCGUGAGUGAAGAAGGCCUUCGGGUUGUAAAGCUCUUUUGUCAGGGAAGAAACGGUGAGAGCUAAUAUCUCUUGCUAAUGACGGUACCUGAAGAAUAAGCACCGGCUAACUACGUGCCAGCAGCCGCGGUAAUACGUAGGGUGCAAGCGUUAAUCGGAAUUACUGGGCGUAAAGCGUGCGCAGGCGGUUUUGUAAGUCUGAUGUGAAAUCCCCGGGCUCAACCUGGGAAUUGCAUUGGAGACUGCAAGGCUAGAAUCUGGCAGAGGGGGGUAGAAUUCCACGUGUAGCAGUGAAAUGCGUAGAUAUGUGGAGGAACACCGAUGGCGAAGGCAGCCCCCUGGGUCAAGAUUGACGCUCAUGCACGAAAGCGUGGGGAGCAAACAGGAUUAGAAACCCUAGUAGUCCCA
rnacentral:rRNA from 1 species